rnacentral:rRNA from 1 species
CACGGGGGGAGCAAGCGUUGUUCGGAAUCAUUGGGCGUAAAGCGCACGUAGGCGGCCUGAUAAGUCGGGUGUGAAAGCCCUGGGCUCAACCCAGGAAGUGCACUCGAAACUGUCAGGCUUGAAUAUGGAAGAGGGUCGCGGAAUUCCCGGUGUAGAGGUGAAAUUCGUAGAUAUCGGGAGGAACACCAGUGGCGAAGGCGGCGACCUGGGCCAAUAUUGACGCUGAGGUGCGAAAGCGUGGGGAGCAAACAGG